rnacentral:rRNA from 1 species
GGUGUUAGAAACGGGUGGCGAGGCGGCCCCCUGGACAAGACUGACGCUCAGGUGCGAAAGCGUGGGGAGCAAACAGGAUUAAAUACCCUGGUAGUCCACGCCGUAAACGAUGUCGACUUGGAGGUUGUGCCCUUGAGGCGUGGCUUCCGGAGCUAACGCGUUAAGUCGACCGCCUGGGGAGUACGGCCGCAAGGUUAAAACUCAAAUGAAUUGACGGGGGCCCGCACAAGCGGUGGAGCAUGUGGUUUAAUUCGAUGCAACGCGAAGAACCUUACCUACUCUUGACAUCCAGAGAACUUUCCAGAGAUGGAUUGGUGCCUUCGGGAACUCUGAAACAGGUGCUGCAUGGCUGUCGUCAGCUCGUGUUGUGAAAUGUUGGGUUAAGUCCCGCAACGAGCGCAACCCUUAUCCUUUGUUGCCAGCGGUUAGGCCGGGAACUCAAAGGAGACUGCCAGUGAUAAACUGGAGGAAGGUGGGGAUGACGUCAAGUCAUCAUGGCCCUUACGAGUAGGGCUACACACGUGCUACAAUGGCGCAUACAAAGAGAAGCGACCUCGCGAGAGCAAGCGGACCUCAUAAAGUGCGUCGUAGUCCGGAUUGGAGUCUGCAACUCGACUCCAUGAAGUCGGAAUCGCUAGUAAUCGUAGAUCAGAAUGCUACGGUUGAAUACGUUUCCCGGGCCUUGUACACACCGCCCGUCACACCAUGGGAGUGGGUUGCAAAAGAAGUAGGUAGCUUAACCUUCGGGAGGGCGCUUACCACUUUUGUGAUCAUGACUGGGGUGAAGUCGUAACAGGGUA